rnacentral:lncRNA from 1 species
AAUUUGGAUAAAAUUUUGGAAAAAAAUCAGAGAAGCGGUGGAAGCAUGGUCAUGGACCCUUUCCGUUUGUGCUUGAGUGAUGUGGUUAUUCUAUAUGGAAUGUUAUCGAAAUCUAGGACUAUUAUCUGCAACUCUGCUCUAACAAAGAACAACUAUUUUUUGCCCUUUUUGUUCUAUAGUAAUUUUCAUGUUUCAUACAAUGAAUGCUUAGGUACGUAUGCUUAGUUCGUCUAUUUGAUUUGGUUUUUAAUAAGCCUUUGGUUAAUUUGGUUUUUGAUGCAUAGGGGGUGUUCCACGACUUGCCGCAGAGAAGGCUUUGCUGGAUUCUAAAGUUUUGAAGACCUGAUAUUGGGUUUAGGUACAUUCGUCGUGGGUUUUGUAAACUGUAACAUUAGGGUGGGUUUUGUAAACUGUAAACUGUAAGACUAAUUUAUUUAGCUGUGUGAUUUGAAAACAAUCACUCUCUCUGUAUCUGUCUGUCUCUGUUUUUUUAGUGUGUGAGAUUAAUUAUUUGGUGCUCUUAUAUAUGUCUGUCUGUUUGGGAAAGGGUCUGUUUGUGAAAAGGUCUCUGUUUGUAAGAGUGAUUUCUCUCUUCUUCUCGGUUCCUGGCGGGGCGACCGGUGAGGCUCGCUGUUUUAUCUGUCUUAUUUCAGUGCCAAUUGCAGUGAGUGCCAAUUGCAG